rnacentral:lncRNA from 1 species
CGGCGGGUGGGGAGGGGCUGGUUUACUAUUCUUAGGCUCCACUAAGCCGGUUGAGGCGCUUUGGCGCAAGAAUGUAUUAUUUGCAAGUCUGUUGCUGGCAAGGCCACUUGGUGUGAAGGAUGUGGGACAUUUUAAAACUGAGAAAAUGCCUCUAAAAAGAAAAGCUUUCAUUAGAACUAUGACGUAGUUUUGACCAGGUGCAAAAAUAUAAAAUUAAUAGUCAAGUUUCAUUUCUCCUCGUGUCCACUUCGUGAGCUUCAUUUCUUGCCCACCAUUUUGCUUCUUUAAAAAAAAAAGAGAGCAGCUUUCUGAUGCUCCUUUGUAAUCACGGAAGGCUGGAGCAUUAUCACAGCUCAGGGACACUUGCAUUUGAAAUGAAGAUAGUCAAAGACUCCAAACAGCCCAAAUGAUUCGACACAACUAUUAAUACAAUGUUUGGGCUGGAGAGAUUUCAGGACAAAGUCUUCCUGUCUUCCUUCCAUUUGGCAACCACACCAUGUCUCCCGGCAUCAAGCUCAGCACUGUACCACACAGAAAGUGGGGCAACUUGGAAAGAGAAGACUAUUGCUGUUUCAAAUUACAGGAAUCACCACAUUCUAAAAAUCACAUUCAACUAUGGAAAUCAAUAUGGAGAUACGUCAAAGAGCUGUCACUGGAGGUUCCAUUUGACCCAGCCAUCCCUCUGCUGGGUAUCUUUCCAAAAGAAUAAAAAGAAUCAUACCACACUGAUAUACGCGCACCUAUGUUUAUAGUGGCACACUUUGUAAUAACUAAAACUUGGAAACAGCCAGCCCAUUAGCCCAUCAGUUGGAAAGUGGAUAAAGAAGAUGUGUUUUUUCUAUAAAAUGGAAUAUUACUCAGCCAUAAAGAAUGAGACAUUAGAUUCAUUCAUAGGAAAAUGGAUACAUAUUGAGGAUAUAUUCCUAAGUGAAAUAAAUAAGUCACACAUGUGUAAAUACUGAAUAGUUUCUCUGGUGUGAAUAAAUUGUAAUAGUACAUAAGAUCCUAAUGAAAUAACAGACAUUGUGAAAUGGGAAGAAAAGGGCUAAAGGUGUAGGGAAAGUGGGAAGGAUAGGGGAAAAGUAAUAAGGAAAAAGAAAAAAAUUGAAGAAAAUGAAAAGAUGGAAACAAAGUGUUUGUAAAUGGGGAGGGGAGGAGGGGGUGAAGGGAGGGCAGGGACAAAGGGGAAAAAUGAGAAUCAAGACCUGUCAUAUAAAGGUACAAGAUCCCAAUAAUGACUGUAACUAUACUGUAUACCUGAAAUGUACCAAUAAACUCAAUAAAAAUUUUUUUAAAAUAAAAAUCACAUUCAGACUCUCUUGCCUUGGGGUACUAAAUUCUCUUGCAAGGGUUCUCAGUGGAAUUAAGACAACAUAAAUUAGCU